AACGAACGCUGGCGGCAGGCUUAACACAUGCGAGUCGAGCGCCCCGCAAGGGGCGCGGCAGGCGGGUGAGUAACGCGUGGGAACGUACCUUUUGGUUCGGAACAACUCCGGGAGACUGGAGCUAAUACCGGAUAAGCCCUAACGGGGAAAGAUUUAUCGCCGAAGGAUCGGCCCGCGUCUGAUUAGCUAGUUGGUGAGGUAACGGCUCACCAAGGCGACGAUCAGUAGCUGGUCUGAGAGGAUGAUCAGCCACACUGGGACUGAGACACGGCCCAGACUCCUACGGGAGGCAGCAGUGGGGAAUAUUGGACAAUGGGCGCAAGCCUGAUCCAGCCAUGCCGCGUGAGUGAUGAAGGCCUUAGGGUUGUAAAGCUCUUUUGUCCGGGAAGAUAAUGACUGUACCGGAAGAAUAAGCCCCGGCUAACUUCGUG
rnacentral:rRNA from 1 species